GUGGGGAAUUUUGGACAAUGGGCGCAAGCCUGAUCCAGCAAUGCCGCGUGCAGGAAGAAGGCCUUCGGGUUGUAAACUGCUUUUGUACGGAACGAAACGGUCCGGGUUAAUACCCUGGGUGGAUGACGGUACCGUAAGAAUACGCACCGGCUAACUUCGUGCCAGCAGCCGCGGUAAUACGUAGGGUGCAAGCGUUAAUCGGAAUUACUGGGCGUAAAGCGUGCGCAGGCGGUUAUAUAAGACAGAUGUGACAUCCCCGGGCUCAACCUGGGAACUGCAUUUGUGACUGUAUAGCUAGAGUACGGUAGAGGGGGAUGGAAUUCCGCGUGUAGCAGUGAAAUGCGUAGAGAUGCGGAGGAACACCGAUGGCGAAGGCAAUCCCCUGGACCUGUACUGACGCUCAUGCACGAAAGCGUGGGGAGCAAACAGGAUUAGAUACCCUUGUAGUCC
rnacentral:rRNA from 1 species